rnacentral:tRNA from 1 species
AAGAAGAUAGCUGAGAGGUUAAAAGCGAUAGAUUGUAAAUCUAUUUUUAAAAAUAAAAAUUCAUGGGUUCGAAUCCCAUUCUUCUAA